rnacentral:rRNA from 1 species
GACGAACGCUGGCGGCGUGCUUAACACAUGCAAGUCGAACGAAGUGGCGAACGGGUGAGUAACGCGUAAUCAACCUGCCCUUCAGAGGGGGACAACAGUUGGAACAGACUGCUAAUACCGCAUACUGAAGGAGGGGAUUGCGUCUGAUUAGAGAGUUGGAGGGGUAACGGCCCCACAUGGCGAUGAUCAGUAGCCGGUCUGAGAGGAUGAACGGCCACAAUGGGAAUGGGACAAGGCCCAGACUCCUGCGGGAGGUAGCAGUGGGGAAUCUUCCGCAAUUGACGAAAGUCUGACGGAGCAACGCCGCGUGAUUGAUGACGGCCUUCGGGUUGGAAAGCUCUGUUAAUCGGGACGCGGUACCGGAAUAGAAAGCCACGGCUAACUACGUGCCAGCCGCCGCGGUAAUAC